GGGAACGCGAGGGGAACGCGAGGGGAACGCGGGAGCUGCUCAGACUCAGGCAGCGCCCCGCACGCUCCCUCAGGGUCACCCCACACCGCUCUUCCAGGAUCGCCCCACAGCCCUCCUGUGACACCUCGAUCCUCCUCCAGGGACAACCUGCACACUUCCCCAGGGUCACCUGAGCUCGAGGGCUGGUGACUUGGAAACCUUGGAAACCAGUCCGGCAGGACCCACCCGGACCUGCUGUUGGGCGGCCGCAUUCCAGGCCUGUGCCAUCACUUGGGAAAGAGGGUGCGGGCCUGCCUGGGCUCCAGGGGUGGGCGGGUGGCCGGCCCCCGGCUGCAUACGCACAACCAAAUUCUGCCUGCGAGAAACUCGGGUUGUGAGUCUCACAAAGCUCACUACCUGCGAGGCGAGGGCGCACCCGCGACACUCCAGUCCUGGACAGCCCUGUGCCCCGCGCUGCCCACGGUGGAACCCAGAAAGGCGCUGGGUCCACGCCAGUUCCAGAGCAGGUCCCGAAGAGGUGCUAGUUCUCUGGACACGGGUCCUCCACCUGGUCUCUACUGACACAGUGACACACACACGGACAGAGGCCUUCCUGCACACGGGACAGCACGCAGACCAGCGCCCUUACAGAAACAGAUGAAGGACGUGACAGCAAGACAAGGUAAGAUUGACACCAAGGAUCUUGACUAGGAGGACUACAAAGCUGGGGCUCCCUUGGAGAGAUGGAGGUGAGUGUGGGCAGAGGGCGCUGGUUUGCACCUGAGGAGACAGCGCGGUCUGAACCACAGUGGGUUCUGAGGGGUGAGCUGUGGAUUCACCUUUGGACUGGGAAGC
ensembl:lncRNA